GGUGGUGGCAGCAUUAUGCCGUGGGCAUGUUUUCCAGCGGCAGGGAAGGGAAGACCAGUUAGGAUCGAGGGAAAGAUAAGCAGAGCAAAAGUACAGAUCCUUGAUGAAACCCUUAAUUGAUGGGGGAAAAAACAAAUCAAUUUUAGACUAAGGCUGUAAUGUAACAAAAUGUGGAAAAAGUACAGGGGUCUGAAUACUUUCUAAAUGCACUGCAGGUAGGGGUAAAAUGACUAGGAUCGAUGGAAGAAGCUGUGUGUGUGUGUGUGUGUGUGUGUGUGCAUAGUCAGUCCAGGAGAGUUAGUGAAAAAAAGGGGUCAAUGAAUGUAGUCCAGGUGUCUUGGGGGCAGAAGCUGUUCACCAAUUAAACACUGGAGUGAUUGAUGUGCAGAAGAUGAAUGUGCAAGUAGAGAUACUGAAGUGCAAAGGAGCAAGAUAGAUUAAUAAGGGGAUAGGCUACUUACAGAUGGGCUAUGUACAGGUGCAGUGAGCUGCUCUGACAGCUGGUGCUUUAAGUUAGUGAGUGAGAUAAGAGUCUCCAGCUUCAGUGAUUUUUGCAAUUCGUUACAGUCAUUGGCAUCAGAGAACUGGAAGGAAAGGCAGCCAAAGGAGGAAUUGGCUUUAGGGGUGACCAGUGAGAUAUACCUGCUGGAGCGCAUGCUAUGGUGACCAGUGAGCUGAGAUAAGGCGGGGCUUAGCAGAGACUUGUAGAUGACCUGGAGCCAGUGGGUUUGGCGACGUAUGAAGCGAGGGCCAGCCAACGAGAGCGUAUAGGUCGCAAUGCUGGGUAGUAUGUGGGGCUUUGGUGACAAAACGGAUGGCACUCUGAUAGACUGCAUCCAAUUUGUUGAGUAGAGUGUUAGAGGCUAUUUUGUAAAUGACAUCGCCGAAGUCGAGGAUCGGUAGGGUUGUCAGUUUUACGAGGGUAUGUUUGGCAGCAUGAGUGAAGGAUGCUUUGUUGCGAAGUAGGAAGCCGAUUUUUAAUUUGGGGAUUGGAGAUGCUUUAAUGUGAGUCUGGAAGGAGAGUUUACAGUCUCUAACCAGACACUUAGGUAUUUGUAGUUGUCCACAUAUUCUAAGUCCGAACUGUCCACUUAGCUAACGUACUCACCAACACCAAUCACAGAUGUGAACCUGUCUGAUGUAAUCCAUUCAUGGUCAUCUGGCAAUAUUGUUGAAAUGCACUGUAAGUUUGUGCCAACUUUAUGGAAGCCCAUUUUACCACCUAUUUGCCGGGUGACGUGUGUGUGUGUGUGUUGCACCCAUAUGCAGACUUCACAACAUGGCAACUGGGGGCGGACUACAAACGUGUUGUCACUGGGCAAUUGUAUAAUCCUCAAAAGUGGGCAUGUAAGUCAUGCAUUACCAAAUCCUCAAGUAAGUCAUGGUGAAUUUACUUACAAAACUCAAGUUUUGGACGAGACUGACUUUUAUGACAAAUUAUCCAAUUUACACUUUGUAGUGAAUUUUGACACUAGAAUACAUUUUUGACUCCUAUAUCGAUGCCACAUUUGCUCUUUAAAGAUGGAAUCCGCAGUAGGGAAAAACGAUGGCACUAGCCGCCCCACCGUCGUUUUUGUUUUGUUGACGAAACAGAGCUGGGGAACGUCAAGGUAAUAACAAUUGCAAUCGGUCCUACAUGCUGCUGUUCUAUCGUGUGUGCAAUGAUGUCCGAGGGACUUCGUUGUUUUACUGUAAUAUCACUAACGGAAGUGGCUGUUAAUCCAUUUAAGAAUUCUAGCUUGAAUUUGACCUUCACCUCUCACUGUGUGUGUGUGUGUAGGUUAACGCAGAGAACACCCCCCACUAUAAGGUGUUAUUCAGUGGUCCUGGCCCCUCCUCUCUCCUAGUGGGAUACCUGCCUCAGACCAGGCUGGAACGGGUCACUGGAACCAGGCCGGAGAUCCCCACCCUAGAACAGUACUUCACACACUUUGAUGGAGAGCGGUUCAUCAUGCAGCCCUGGCUCCAAGAGAUCUUCCCUGAAGACUGACAGACAGGGACCACAAGAGUGUGUGUGUGUCAGUGGGACACCUAACUGGACGGUAGAUGUAAAGAAAAGGACAGCUCCUCUCUCUGUUCCCCCCCACAACAAGAUCAAUUUAAUUUCACAGUGAUUUAGUGGAGGGGGGAAAAGGCUUUUACACCUUUAGUCACCUACUGCGGAAAAAAUGCAUUGAAAUUAUAGGAAGCCUUAUUUUAUUAGCUGCAAACGGUGAUCAGCGUUUACCCACCUACACUGUUUUAACCACUACAUCAUUGAAGAUGUCAUACAGUAUUUCAUACCAGAACAAAAUUAAAGACAGAAAAUAUAAUACAGUUCAUUAUCAUAAAGACCUCAAACUUGAAUCAAGAACAGCCACAUUUACAUAAUUUAUUGACAUUCAUGUUCAUGGACAGAAGCUUUGAGGAAAAGCUUAAAUAAAUAUUAUUCUAAACAAAACAA